ensembl:lncRNA
GCGCCGCCGCGCGACCGCACGCCUGAGCGCGAGAACGAACACGACGACGGCGGCUUCCUCAGCGUCACGCCCGACCGCAAGUCGUACGAGCGCCGCCUGCUGCAGGACCCGCAGACGCCCCGCCGCGGCAGCGGCGGCGGUGGUGGUGGCGGCAGCGCGGCCGGCACCCCCGAGCGCGCCAACAACAACAACAACCACCACCACGCCGCCGACUCGCUGUCCCUCCUCAGGGGCCGCACGCCCGACAGAGCCGCCAUGAACAACGGCAACUUCCUGAGGGACUCCUCCCCACAGCGGGGCCUGGCCAACGGGACGCCAGAGAGGCGGUAUCGUACGGAGCGCGACUCCUCGCCGGAGAGCAACUACAGCCGGGAGGAGGUGAACUACGCGCCGGUGGUGGCGGGGGCCCCCAGGCUCAAGGACUACUACAGCAUGAUGAAGAACAACGCUGGCCACAACAACGCGGGCCACUUCAACGCCACCGGCCACAACAAUAACACGCUGGGCCCAGGCCAGGGCCAAGGCCAGCUCCCUGAGCCCAAGAGACGGCUGUACAAGGAGAGUCCCAAAGACCUGAGUAUCUAGAGCCGGAAAACAGAGAGCCCUCUCCCCUCGCGCCCCUCUCUCCCCUCCCUCCCUCCCUCCCUCCCCCCGUCUUAUGUGUGGAAACCUAUGUACUAUACACUGGAAGUGAACUUAAACUGAGGACACAAAACUCCUUGUGAAUGGUUGGAUCCAUUGGUUGAGUAAUAGUCGAUUGAUUGAGUUAGCUGACUUAAGUCCUUGUGAUCCCAGCUAGAGAAUCAAUUAAAGAAAAAAAAUAUGAAAAAACUACAGGAGUACGGCGCUUUGGGUUUCAUUCUGGUUGUUACGUUAUUGUUCUAGUUACUUUGAGCAUAAGAGAGGUUGUUGUAUACUGUAGUUCCGGUAUUGUAUGUGCCUGCAUAUGAAUAAUCAGUGAUGUUGCUUUUUACAGGCAUUUCUGAUCUCUAAAAUAUGUGUUUCCUCAGAGGUUUGAAGCAUUCUUCCAACGGUGGUGACUUGUUCAUCCAACACACAGGCUACUUUUCAAUGUAUUUGUCUUUUCCACUCCUGAGUUGCUUUAUUAAAUGAACAAUAGCACAAGACACUGAGGGUUCACAAGAGUUGGCAACGUGUUACUGGACAUUUAGGCAAAGUAUAAGGGAAGAUUCUGAUUCACAAAGUGACAAAUAUAAUGUAAUAUAUCCCCCCUCCCUACCAUUUGUUCACUAUUUAUUUUUUGAUCGGUUAAAAUUCAAAGGAGUAAGACUUGUAAAUGUUAUUUUUUCACUAUGUUUAAUUUCCGGUUCAGAAAGUACAAAUUCUCACCAUUAUUUUGAGUAAUCCUUAGAGGAACAAAAUAACGAAGGAAAUGCAGUUGUCUCAAUGCAUGACUGGAGCAGAAGCAUGUCAGGGCUUUUACUUUCUGAACGUGGUAAAGGUCCUCGUCCAACCACACUUUGGAAACUCUCUGGUAACACCCUACUAAAUAUGCUUGGACACUUGAUGGUGUGGCAGCUAGCCCUCAUUCCCUAAACAUCCCCUAAACAUCCCCUAAACAUCCACGCACUGUAUUUCAGAGAAAGGUCAUUUAGACAUACCAAUACCCAGGAGUUAUUGAUCUCCCCCUCUCAAUUAACCACAACCCUGCUACAGGCUGAUCUCCACCACGUAUCAUGCUGCACACAGAUACUAUGUGCACAUAGAGAUUCAUCCAUGUAACUGUAACCAGUUCCAAUUGGUGUAACAACACCGACAUGGAGAGGACACCAGGUAAACUAACUUUGAUUUGAUUUGAUUAGAUUCAACGACAGAAAACAUUGCAUCGUCAAACGAGUCCUCUCCGUCCAAGAUGCAUGUGUGGCUGAGAAUAGCUACGUACUCAUCUCAUCCCAAGCAUUCCCACAGAUAUGGCGGUCACACCUCGCUCUAAACAAACCGGCGUCCGUCUGUCCGUCCGUCCGUCCAUCCGUCUCCCCCGGGUAUUGCGGUGGUGGGUCAUGGAACGGGGGUCAACUGUGGUCCGUUGCGGUACACAAGUCAGCUGAUCUGCCCACCUGAGCCAUUCUGUCACAGCACUGGAGUCUGACUGCUGCUUUGAUAACGUGUUUUAUGUGUGUAUUCUCUGUUUUAUGUUUCACUAAAGAACUAAAAAGAUAUUGGAUAGCCACAAACAAAAUGCAUUGUUUUAUCACUGUUGUCGUCAUGGUACUGUAUUUAAGAAGAAGAAGAAACAGAAGAAGAAGAUGAUGAUGAGGAAGAUAAAAAAGAAGAAACAUGUAGGAUGUUAAAAACCUGUUGGCCAUAACGUAAAAAUAAUUUUAAUGUGUAACUAAUAGGAACCUGCUAAGGAUUAAAAUGUUGCCUUUUUCUUGUACAAAAGAGAAAUUUAUGGGGAUCCUCAGCAGUGAGGAAUGUGAUGGUGUGUUUAUAUUACUGACAUGGACCUGGUGAUUCAAGGGGAGGUAUGUUCAUUUAC